GAAAAACUUCUGAAGCAGUUUAUGAAGAGGCUGUAAGACUUAGCAGGCUCAUGUGUCCAUGCAGAUAGGUGCAGAUGGUCACAACUCCGGAGUACGGCAGGCUGCUGGAAUCCAGAAUGUGAGCUGGAACUAUGACCAGUCUGCUGUUGUGGCUACUCUGCAUUUAUCAGAGGCCACAGAAAACAAUGUAGCCUGGCAGAGAUUUCUUCCCUCUGGGCCUAUUGCUCUGCUCCCGCUCUCAGACACCUUGAGUUCCUUGGUUUGGUCCACAUCCCAUGAACAUGCAGCAGAGCUAGUUAGCAUGGAUGAGGAAAAAUUUGUGGAUGCCGUUAAUUCUGCCUUUGUGAGUAUUAAUUUACCCAGCUGAUGAUGUGUUGCAGGGGGACAUACAGAAAGGUUUUUUUUUUUGUUUUUGUUUUUUUUUUUUUUGAAACGGAGCCUUGCCAGGCUGGAGCGCAGUGGCGCGAUCUUGGCUCACUGUGCAAUCUCCGCCUCCCGGGUUCAAGCAAUUCUCCUGCCUCAGCUUCCCGAGUGGCUGGGACUACAGGCGUGUGCCACCACACCCAGCUAAUUUUUGUAUUUUUAGUAGAGAUGAAGUUUCACCAUGUUAGCCAGGCUGGUCUCAAACUCCUGACUUCAAGUGAUCUGCCCGCCUUGGCCUCCCAAAGUGCUGGGAUUACAGGCGUGAGCCACCGCACCCAGCCAGAAAGGUGGUUUUGAGUCAGGAAAAAGGAGUAACCAGUCAGCUGUCCCUUUGUACUUUGUAACUAUAAUGCUUGGUCUGGAUUAUGUGGAGGAGGGUAUACACGGAAAUGCAAAACAAUAGAAAUAAUAAAUAAUAACCUUUUGAGGGUUGUGGGCUGCUGUUAGGCUGACUGAAACAGCUGCCUGGGUGGUGGUUAGCAUUGGCCUUUUUUUGAAGCUGUAACACUUGGAUCAUUUUGAACAGUUCUGCUAGGUUCCAGCUUCCUGAACCUUUCAAGCCUGAUUCAUUGGAAGUAUUCCUAGGGAAAGGCUGAGCGAAUUUCAGCAUGGGGCUUAAGAGUAAGCUUAGUAGAUAGAUGUGGGUUCAAUACUGGUUCUACCUGUUCAUUUCCUGGAAAAUGUAAAUAGUAUCACUAACUUCUCCGGAUUGAAUAAAGACUUUCAAAAUGAGAGAACUUUUGUAAAAUCCAUGGAACAUCUUUAGUACAUUGUAGGUGCUCAACAAAUACUAAUAAUUAUUCUGGAGUAGACACAGCCUUUGGAUAAUAUGGGUAGCAGUAUUACUUUUGGAGCCUAAGUGACACUCAAAGCCUGCUACCUUCACACCAAAGACUCCACUGCUCUGUAGUAGCAACAAGAGUAAAGGGAACUGAACAUACUGAAAUGGAUUCCGAGAUAAAUGGUGAACACUACCCUACUGUGGGCCAUUUAGUAUAUAUUCCUGGCACAGGUCUAGGACCUCUGCAGUGCAAAUUGUCCUUUCUAUGUAGCAGGCUCUGGAGAUACUGAGAACAGUCUCCGCUUUCAGGAAGUUCAUAGUGAAGUAAGGAAGACCGUAAAUGACAGUCUCCGUACAGUGAUAGAAGUAUGCCUAGGAUGCUGUGGAAGCAUACAGGGGGAAACACAGAGAAAGACUGGAGGAGUUAAAAAGAGGUGACAUCUUCUGGAUGCUCUGAGGUGUUAUCCUAAUGAAAUAGAGAUGGGCAUUCUAAGCAGAGGAGAGUUGUGGAGGUA
rnacentral:sRNA from 1 species